AUGAACGCUGGCGGCGUGCUUAACACAUGCAAGUCGAACGGUGAAGCUCCAGCUUGCUGGAGUGGAUCAGUGGCGAACGGGUGAGUAACACGUGAGCAACCUGCCCCUGACUCUGGGAUAACAGCCGGAAACGGCUGCUAAUACCGGAUAUGCACCAUGAACGCAUGUUCUGUGGUGGGAAAGAUUUUUCGGUUGGGGAUGGGCUCGCGGCCUAUCAGCUUGUUGGUGAGGUAAUGGCUCACCAAGGCGUCGACGGGUAGCCGGCCUGAGAGGGUGACCGGCCACACUGGGACUGAGACACGGCCCAGACUCCUACGGGAGGCAGCAGUGGGGAAUAUUGCACAAUGGGCGAAAGCCUGAUGCAGCAACGCCGCGUGAGGGAUGACGGCCUUCGGGUUGUAAACCUCUUUUAGCAGGGAAGAAGCGAGAGUGACGGUACCUGCAGAAAAAGCGCCGGCUAACUACGUG
rnacentral:rRNA from 1 species